GUCUUUGUAGCGCAAAGGAUAGCGCGUUGGACUCCUCAUUCAAAGGUCGUGGAUUCGUAUCCUACCUGGGAUG
rnacentral:tRNA from 1 species